GACGAACGCUGGCGGCGCGCUUAACACAUGCAAGUCGAACGGAAAGGCCUGCUUUCCCUUGUGGAUUGCGGGUACUCGAGUGGCGAACGGGUGAGUAACACGUGAGUGAUCUGCCCCCAACUUGGGUAUAAGCCUGGGAAACUGGGUCUAAUUCCCGAUAGGACUGCAGGGUGGUGCCUGUGGUGGAAAACGAUUUUCUAGUGGUUGGGGAUGAGCUCGCGGCCUAUCAGCUUGUUGGUGGGGUAAUGGCCUACCAAGGCGGCGACGGGUAGCCGGCCUGGGAGGGUGGACGGCAACAUUGGGCCGGCGAUACGGCCCAGACUCCUACGGGAGGCAGCAGUGGGGAAUAUUGCACAAUGGGCGGAAGCCUGAUGCAGGGACGCCGCGUGGGGGAUGACGGCCUUCGGGUUGUAAACUCCUUGCGACCGCGAGGAAGCCACCUGGUUGGAAGGGUGGUGACGGUAGUGGUAGAAGAAGCACCGGCUAACUACGUG
rnacentral:rRNA from 1 species